GCGGGCGUGGUGAAAUUGGUAAACACAACGGACUUAAAAUCCGUCGCUCGGAAACGAGCUUGCCGGUUCGAUGCCGGCCGCCCGCACCA
rnacentral:tRNA from 1 species